rnacentral:rRNA from 1 species
GACGAACGCUGGCGGCGUGCUUAACACAUGCAAGUCGAACGGAAAGGCCCUGCUUUUGUGGGGUGCUCGAGUGGCGAACGGGUGAGUAACACGUGAGUAACCUGCCCUUGACUUUGGGAUAACUUCAGGAAACUGGGGCUAAUACCGGAUAGGAGCUCCUGCUGCAUGGUGGGGGUUGGAAAGUUUCGGCGGUGGGGGAUGGACUCGCGGCUUAUCAGCUUGUUGGUGGGGUAGUGGCUUACCAAGGCUUUGACGGGUAGCCGGCCUGAGAGGGUGACCGGCCACAUUGGGACUGAGAUACGGCCCAGACUCCUACGGGAGGCAGCAGUGGAGAAUAUUGCACAAUGGGCGGAAGCCUGAUGCAGCAACGCCGCGUGCGUGAUGACGGCCUUCGGGUUGUAAACCGCUUUCGCCUGUGACGAAGCGUGAGUGACGGUAAUGGGUAAAGAAGCACCGGCUAACUACGUG